rnacentral:rRNA from 1 species
AGAGUUUGAUCCUGGCUCAGGAUGAACGCUAGCUACAGGCUUAACACAUGCAAGUCGAGGGGCAGCAUGGUCUUAGCUUGCUAAGGCCGAUGGCGACCGGCGCACGGGUGAGUAACACGUAUCCAACCUGCCGUCUACUCUUGGACAGCCUUCUGAAAGGAAGAUUAAUACAAGAUGGCAUCAUGAGUCCGCAUGUUCACAUGAUUAAAGGUAUUCCGGUAGACGAUGGGGAUGCGUUCCAUUAGAUAGUAGGCGGGGUAACGGCCCACCUAGUCAACGAUGGAUAGGGGUUCUGAGAGGAAGGUCCCCCACAUUGGAACUGAGACACGGUCCAAACUCCUACGGGAGGCAGCAGUGAGGAAUAUUGGUCAAUGGGCGAUGGCCUGAACCAGCCAAGUAGCGUGAAGGAUGACUGCCCUAUGGGUUGUAAACUUCUUUUAUAAAGGAAUAAAGUCGGGUAUGUAUACCCGUUUGCAUGUACUUUAUGAAUAAGGAUCGGCUAACUCCGUGCCAGCAGCCGCGGUAAUACGGAGGAUCCGAGCGUUAUCCGGAUUUAUUGGGUUUAAAGGGAGCGUAGAUGGAUGUUUAAGUCAGUUGUGAAAGUUUGCGGCUCAACCGUAAAAUUGCAGUUGAUACUGGAUAUCUUGAGUGCAGUUGAGGCAGGCGGAAUUCGUGGUGUAGCGGUGAAAUGCUUAGAUAUCACGAAGAACUCCGAUUGCGAAGGCAGCCUGCUAAGCUGCAACUGACAUUGAGGCUCGAAAGUGUGGGUAUCAAACAGGAUUAGAUACCCUGGUAGUCCACACGGUAAACGAUGAAUACUCGCUGUUUGCGAUAUACGGCAAGCGGCCAAGCGAAAGCGUUAAGUAUUCCACCUGGGGAGUACGCCGGCAACGGUGAAACUCAAAGGAAUUGACGGGGGCCCGCACAAGCGGAGGAACAUGUGGUUUAAUUCGAUGAUACGCGAGGAACCUUACCCGGGCUUAAAUUGCAGAUGAAUUACGGUGAAAGCCGUAAGCCGCAAGGCAUCUGUGAAGGUGCUGCAUGGUUGUCGUCAGCUCGUGCCGUGAGGUGUCGGCUUAA